UUUUGACCUCGGGUCAAGCA
rnacentral:rRNA from 1 species